rnacentral:lncRNA from 1 species
GGAUCUCACCCAGUGAGCCAUCCGCAGGUUUCCUCCCCCUCUCUAGAACCAGAUCACCAUGGCAACUGGAGGGAAGUUGAUGAGAGCGACUGGAGUUUUUUAAUUUGGUGGACCAGAAGUGCUGAAACUCCGGUCGUAUGUUGCAAUACCAAUUCCAAAAGACCAUCAGGUUCUAAUCAAAGUCCACGCAUGUGGUGUAAACCCCAUGGAAACAUAUAUUCGGUCUGGUACUUACAGAAAAAAACCACUCUUACCCUACUCACCGGGUUCAGAUGUGGCUGGGAUAAUAUUGAUGAUAAUGUAUCUACUUUCAAGAAAGGUGAUAGAGAUUUCACUACCGCCACCAUCUCUGGGAGCAAUGCUGAAUGUUGAAAAUCCCAGGAGUGUGGAGUUGGCAAAUGCCUGGGACCCCAGAAGCUUGGAGUUUCCCAUGAGCAAGGUAUCCCAUCUGAAGAAACAAGGUGCACUCACUCCAACAUCCAGCACAUGUAGCCCAUCCAGAACGGUGUCUUCCAGAUCUGAUCUCUGUCAAAGUCACGAGAAUGUGGUUGUGGGAGAUGGUUGCAUGGCUUCUGGUGUUGUCACCACUAUAAACAAGGUCUGGCCCUUGCCUUUAGGCCAUGCAAAGGGCUGUGGUAUGUCACCUACAGACAGCAUGUAAGGAAACCACAGAGGUAAGCCAGUGGAGUAGGAAGUCUGUAAGUUUUGUGACAGCCACAACCCCAGAACAACUCAUAAAUCCAUCUUUGUCCAAUGCAUUGAUUUACUUACUUAAUUCUUUUUUUUUUAGAUUUUAUUUAUUCAUGAGAGACACAGAGAGAGAGAGAGAGGGGCAGAGACACAGGCAGAGGGAGAAGCAGACUCCAUGCAGGGACCCUGAUGCGGGACUCAAUCCUGGAACUCCAGGAUUACGCCCUGGGCCAAAGGCAGGCACUAAACCACCGAGCCACCCAGGGAUCCCUACUUACUUAAUUCUUAACAAGAAUUAAAGGGUGAGAGUAUGUAUCCAUAGGCUCUGCUUAAGGUGUUGUAUUAAACCAGUAAGUAAGACUAGUAACAGCUAGUUUAAACUUAGAACUACUGCAAUGAUUUAUAUUUAUUUUUUUAAUCUACACCACAAAACCCUAGGGGACAAGUAUUAUUGUCAUCUGCAUUUUAUAGUUGAGGAAAACAAGGCUCAAAGAUAUUAAGUAACUGGCCCAACGUAGCCUGUAGACAUGAAAAUGCACACACAUAAAAUUUUAACAUGGAAGGCAACUGUACAUAUUUAAAGAUAUACUCUUCCAUCCACAUUAUAUAAUUCAUCAUAAAAAGACACUAAAAUAGCAACAAGCAUCUACUUU